rnacentral:rRNA from 1 species
CGGCAACAGCUCAAAUUUGAAAUCUGGCUCUUUCAGGGUCCGAGUUGUAAUUUGUAGAAGAUGCUUUGGGUGUGGCUCUGGUCUAAGUUCCCUGGAACAGGACGUCAUAGAGGGUGAGAAUCCCGUAUGUGACCAGUGGCUUUCGCCCGUGUAAAGCUCUUUCGAC